GAUGAAGAACGCAGUGAAAUGCGAUAAGUAAUGUGAAUUGCAGAAUUCAGUGAAUCAUCGAAUCUUUGAACGCACAUUGCGCCCCUUGGUAUUCCGAGGGGCAUGCCUGUUCGAGCGUCAUUAUAACCCCUCAAGCUUAGCUUGGUGUUGGGGCCUGCUGUAAUAGAGCAGCCCUUAAAAUCAGUGGCGGUGCCAUUAGGCUCUAAGCGUAGUAAUUCUUCUCGCUAUAGGGUUCUGGUGGAUGCUUGCCAUUAACCUCUAAUUUUCUAUGGUUGACCUCGGAUCAGGUAGGGAUACCCGCUGAACUUAAGCAUAUAAUAAGCGGAGGA
rnacentral:misc_RNA from 1 species